AUGUGGCUCCUACACGGCGUGCUCCAGAGUGUUGGAAAGUACCACCAAUUGAGUGCCUCAAAAUCAAUACAGAUGCCCAAUUCCAUGAGUUACUCGGGCAAGGGGACACUGGUCUGGUUGUGCGCGUGCGUGAUCAUACUAGGAAACUUAUUCGAGCUCAAGCACAAUGGAUCUUGGAAGAGCAUAGCAAUGCCUCUUCAGGAGAUUAAGGAGCUAUGUGGGACCUUCAUUAGCUUUUCUAUUUCUUUUGUAAGAAGAGAAGCAAAUAUGGCUACUCAUCUCAGUGCUAAGCAGGCUAGUGAGGGCGACCAGCGAUUACCAGAGUAUAUUUCCCAUAAUGCACAUGCAUCUAGAAGAAUCUAUCAAGACCAUCAUGUCAACAUAACUGCUAACGCUACUGCUGUGGAGUCACCAUUUGAUGAAGAUAAGCUCGCCUUGAAAUGGUGUGUCGCAAGGGAAUGCGACCCCAAGUACCCAGGUGAAGGCUUUAACCAACCAUGCAGCUGCUGCUUCUCGCUGCCGGGCGCCCCAUGUUGGCACACUAUGAAGGAGUGCCAGGCAAAAUGCCCAACCUGCCACCCUACAUGCUAA
rnacentral:rRNA from 1 species